rnacentral:rRNA from 1 species
AUUGAACGCUGGCGGCAGGCCUAACACAUGCAAGUCGAACGAGUGGCGGACGGGUGAGUAAUGUCUGGGAAACUGCCUGAUGGAGGGGGAUAACUACUGGAAACGGUAGCUAAUACCGCAUACCAUCAGAUGUGCCCAGAUGGGAUUAGCUAGUUGGUGGGGUAACGGCUCACCAAGGCGACGAUCCCUAGCUGGUCUGAGAGGAUGACAGGCCAAAGUGGAAAUGGGACACGGUCCAGACUCCUAGGGGAGGCAGCAGGGGGAAAUAUUGCAAAAUGGGCGCAAGCCUGAGGCAGCCAUGCCGCGUGAAUGAGGAGGGCCUUCGGGUUGUAAAGGACUUUCAGCGGGGAGGCGUUACCCGCAGAAGAAGCACCGGCUAACUCCGUGCCAGCGGCCGCGUAAUUC